rnacentral:rRNA from 1 species
UAGGUGUAUUCCCNVGUUUUGCGGACCAGCAUCAGUUUCUHGGCAGUAUAAGGGUGUUUGGAACGUGGCUCCCACGGGAGUGUUAUAGCCUUUCACUGGAUGCUGCCUCGCAGACUVAGGACUGCAGUGCNAUNNUGGCAUAGUCUUCGGGCUNCGAGCACUUAGGAUGCUGGGCGAAUGGGUU